UACAGGUAUUCACCAAGUAUUGCCACCCAGGCAGUGAGUAAUAACUUUCUUCUAUUCUAUCACUUUUAGGACACUCCUGGAACCAACAGUCAGUUCAAGUGGUCUGGGAAGCCGAUGCCGAGACCGAGUUAGAAGUGUAAGAGGCGCAUUGGGCAGUGAAAGACAAGGAAACAGGAACAGGCAGAGAAAGCCUAUGCAUGAUGCUGUCAAUCUCUACCUUUGAAAGGAAGGGAGUUCUUCCCCAUGGGCCCACGGAUUUCUGGGUUUUCUGGUUCCCGCCCAGAAGCCUGCUCUGGAAUGUUCCCAACUCAGCUGGCAGGUCACUGUCGCAGGCAGGAGACCCUGGUGGAGAUGGGGC